rnacentral:pre_miRNA from 1 species
CAACUACUCCCUUUGUCCCAAAUUUCUUGUCUUAGAUUUGUCUAGAUACGGAUGUAUCUAAUACUAAAAUGUGACUUGAUACAUCCGUAUCUAGACAAAUCUAAGACAAGAAUUUUGGGACGGAGGGAGUACUUN